AGAGUUUGAUCAUGGCUCAGGAUGAACGCUAGCGGCAGGCCUAAUACAUGCAAGUCGAACGGUAAGGUUCCUUCGGGAAUACACGAGUGGCGCACGGGUGCGUAACGCGUAUGCAACCUACCUAUUACAGAGGGAUAGCCAGUGGAAACAUUGAUUAAUACCUCAUGGUACUAUAAAGCUGCAUAGUUUAAUAGUUAAAGAUUUAUCGGUAAUAGAUGGGCAUGCGUAUGAUUAGCUAGUUGGUAAGGUAACGGCUUACCAAGGCAACGAUCAUUAGGGGUUCUGAGAGGAUGAUCCCCCACACUGGUACUGAGAUACGGACCAGACUCCUACGGGAGGCAGCAGUAGGGAAUAUUGGGCAAUGGAGGCAACUCUGACCCAGCCAUGCCGCGUGCAGGAAGACGGCCCUCUGGGUUGUAAACUGCUUUUUUACUAGAAGAAAAUUCCUUGCGAGGAACUAUGACGGUAUAGUAAGAAUAAGCACCGGCUAACUCCGUGCCAGCAGCCGCGGUAAUACGGAGGGUGCAAGCGUUGUCCGGAUUUACUGGGUUUAAAGGGUGCGUAGGCGGCUCUUUAAGUCAGUGGUGAAAUCCUCCGGCUUAA
rnacentral:rRNA from 1 species